rnacentral:snoRNA from 1 species
AGUGCACAUGUUAGAGCUUGGAGCUGAGCCCACUGGCUAGCCAAUGAACUCUCAAGUGAAGGUAGUAUGCUACAUGAUGGACAAGUUUUUCACUAAUACCACAAGGGUCUCUGACCCAAUGAGUGGAAGGUUGAUAGUAGUCCUUGUUACAAAU